UAAAAUCUCUGAUUCUCAUGUUUUGCACAUUUCCUAAUUGGACUGAGAGGCCAGAAAGUAACUUCUGAACCCUGGAUCAUGCUAACAGGCAGAAUCUGAGAGGUUCUGAAAACUAGAAAGCCAAGAUCCAAGUAUUUAUACCAUUGGUUUCUUCUGAGGCCUCUCUUCUUGACUUGCAGGGGCUUAAGACACACGGAGAGACGCCAGGAGCGUGUGUGCACAGAGAGACAACCAUGUGAAGAGACAGCAAGAGGGCAGCCAUCUACAAACAAGGGAGAGAAGCCUCAGAAGAAACCAAACCUACCAACACCUUGAUUUUGGACUUCAAGCCUCCAGAACUGUGAGAAACAAAUUUCUGUUGUUAAACUACCUAGUCUGAGGUAUUUUUGUUAUGGCAGCCUGAAUAGCCUAAUACAAGCAUUAUGAACAUGUUGCAGAGUUUUGCAGGUUAU